rnacentral:lncRNA from 1 species
AAAGGAUUUAAAACUGGAAAUUCAAACUUGAAAGCCAUAAUAAAAGAUUUGAAAGAAAACAUUUAAACUUUAAUAAAUUAUUCGAAAGAGAACAUUUAAACCCCCUAAAAGCACAGGAUCGCAUCCAGGUUACAGUAUUGAAAUUAGAAUCUACCACUAUUAUUACACAACAUCUCUUACCAAAUCAGAUCAUCUUCGAUAAGAAGAAUUACUGCCAAUCUAUUCCUGCCAUGACUUACAUCUGAAUCUCUAUAGCACAGCUCUAGCUUGUACCAACCUCAUCAACUUUCCUGAACACUCCUCGACCACUUGAUUCUCAACUCUGUCUCCUCGCCUAGCAUUAGCCUUAUUCACGAUCUCAAUCAAUCAUUUCAUCUUUCAGCCUUUCUGAAAUGGUUAGAAGGGAAAAGCAAGGGUGAGCAACAAUGCUCAGCAAGUAGUAAUAAACAAUGAUAGUUCUGAAAUGAUAUAACAGAAAUUCACGAGUUCAAGAUAUAAGAGGAUUCAACCUGAGUUCAUGAGUUCAUGGUAUUGUAUAGAAUGAUUUACAAUACCUUGCAGCAUUUAAACUGAGAAAUUCAAUCUUUCCAAAGAAUUAUUGAAUUGGACUAUCACAUUUUAAUUAAAACCAAGGUUAGGCAGCUGAUCAGUUCCGCACUAACCCCGAGCAGGCCCCGCCAUGCUCUAUCACUGGAUCCAAGGCACUCAUUGGCCUAACAUGACCACGAAUCUGGUCCACAGGUUUAUAUAAAAACAAUAAUCCAAUUCUCUAAUUCAAUUCAAGAAGCCAAUGUAAAUUAACAGAACAUCAUCAUAAAUAUCAUCAACAACAGAAUAAUUCCAAUUCAAACUUUGAUAAUAAUCUAUUCAUAAAUCAUGAUCCAUCAUUUCAUAAAUCACAGUUCAGGAAAUCCUCAACUAUUCAGUAUCCUCCAUUAUCGGCUAAGCAACUGAAUUUAGCCUGCUAAACCAGCAUGACAAUGGCGGGUUGAAUAAUCAAGAAGAUCCCAAUUCAUUCAAAGCUCUAACUAUCACUGAGCAACACAUGCUUCAAUGACAAUCUGAACUUCGAAUUAAUUUGUAAAACGGAAAUUCUUUAGAAACUUGAAGAUUAGAAAGAAUGGGUCAGAAUACUCGCACUUUCGAACAUUGAAAAGAAAGGUAUGAAUACUUGAAACAUAUACCAAAGGAAUGGAUCAGAAUAUUUGCAAUAUAUCCAAGAGAAAGGUUUAGGAUACUUGCAACACAUAUAAAAAGAAUGGAUCAGAAUAUGCAAUAUAUCCAAAAGCAGGGUGCAGGAUACUUGCCUUAAAUCUGACUCCAGUCUCACAUCUCAAUCUCAUCUUUCCACUUUCACAAUCUAUGCAUCUCAUAGUCUCUAGACCAUCUCUGGCUAUACUCUAUCUACCGUACAUCUUCGCUUCGCUUACUCGAUUCAUCCCUUAUUCGCUUUGUAACACCACGUGACUUUCUGAACGUCUUCGGGCAUACACGUCUCGUCCAAAUCCUUUACGAGAAUAAGAUAACACUAUAAUCACUAAACAAUCGAUCGCAUAUACAUCUCACGUAUAUCAAUACCCACUUAU